rnacentral:rRNA from 1 species
CGAAAGCCUGACGGAGCAAGACCGCGUGGGGGAGGAAUGCCUUAGGGUUGUAAACCCCUUUUAUCUGGGAAGAACAAAAUGACGGUACCAGAUGAAUAAGCCUCGGCUAACUCCGUGCCAGCAGCCGCGGUAAUACGGAGGAGGCAAGCGUUAUCCGGAAUUAUUGGGCGUAAAGCGUUCGUAGGCGGUUUUAUAAGUCUGCUGUCAAAGUGCGGAGCUCAACUCCGUAAGAGCAGUGGAAACUGUGAGACUUGAGUGUGGUAGGGGUAGAGGGAAUUCCCGGUGUAGCGGUGAAAUGCGUAGAUAUUGGGAAGAACACCGGUGGCGAAAGCGCUCUACUGGGCCACAACUGACGCUCAGGGACGAAAGCUAGGGGAGCG